UGGCAGGAUGGGCCUGUGGUGGUAACCACCAUCCGGGUUCGAUUUCCCUCCAUGCGGAAACUACCCUACCUCUUCUGGACACCAAAAGCGGUACUGGGUUCGAUCCAGCCCAGGUAAAGUCCUCCCGGGUGAAGUGGAACGCUGCCUGACCGGACCCAGGAGAAUGACCCGCGAAGCGGGGAACCCCUGGAUUAUAAAAAAAAAAAAAAAAAUUUAAAAAUGACCAACCGUUCAUUCACAUGAUAAAAUGAAACAAUAUUAAACAACAUGUGUAGUCAAAGUUGUGCUGUGUCAAAAGAACUGGAACGUGUGUGGUGUAUGCUGUCAAUCACAACGUCCACACUUUACAAUUGUUUGAUAUAUUAAAUUUAUUACAACAUUCAAAAUUCUGAUUUAUAUUAAUUGUCACAUCUGUUUACUUAAUUAAUGUUAUAUAAUAUCACGUAAUAACUAUAUUACAGGGGAAGCAAAGUGCGUGUUACUAUAUGGGGCAAUAAAGUAGAUAUGUAUCAAAAACUGAUGAAAAAUAAAGAAGCAUUGGGUGCCACUUUGAUAAUAACAAGUGUAAAUCCCAAAACAUAUUCAGGUUUUCUAAUUAAAAAAUCAUAUUUAUAUUAUUAAUAACUAAGCUUUAACAUUAAAUGACAUCUUAC
rnacentral:lncRNA from 1 species